rnacentral:rRNA from 1 species
AUACGGAAGGUCCGGGCGUUAUCCGGAUUUAUUGGGUUUAAAGGGAGCGUAGGCCGGAGAUUAAGCGUGUUGUGAAAUGUAGAUGCUCAACAUCUGAACUGCAGCGCGAACUGGUUUCCUUGAGUACGCACAAAGUGGGCGGAAUUCGUGGUGUAGCGGUGAAAUGCUUAGAUAUCACGAAGAACUCCGAUUGCGAAGGCAGCUCACUGGAGCGCGACUGACGCUGAAGCUCGAAAGUGCGGGUAUCGAACAGGAUUAGAUACCCUGGUAGUCCGCACGGUAAACGAUGGAUGCCCGCUGUUGGUCUGAAUAGGUCAGCGGCCAAGCGAAAGCAUUAAGCAUCCCACCUGGGGAGUACGCCGGCAACGGUGAAACUCAAAGGAAUUGACGGGGGCCCGCACAAGCGGAGGAACAUGUGGUUUAAUUCGAUGAUACGCGAGGAACCUUACCCGGGCUUGAAUUGCAGAGGAAGGAUUUGGAGACAAUGACGCCCUUCGGGGCCUCUGUGAAGGUGCUGCAUGGUUGUCGUCAGCUCGUGCCGUGAGGUGUCGGCUUAAGUGCCAUAACGAGCGCAACCCCUCUCCUUAGUUGCCAUCAGGUGAAGCUGGGCACUCUGGGGACACUGCCACCGUAAGGUGUGAGGAAGGUGGGGAUGACGUCAAAUCAGCACGGCCCUUACGUCCGGGGCUACACACGUGUUACAAUGGCAGGUACAGAGAGACGGUCCCUUGCAAAAUGGAUCAAGUCCUUAAAGCCUGUCUCAGUUCGGACUGGGGUCUGCAACCCGACCCCACGAAGCUGGAUUCGCUAGUAAUCGCGCAUCAGCCAUGGCGCGGUGAAUACGUUCCCGGGCCUUGUACACACCGCCCGUCAAGCCAUGAAAGCCGGGGGCGCCUAAAGUCCGUGACCGUAAGGAGCGGCCUAGGGCGAAACUGGUAAUUGGGGCU